UGAAUGCGAGCGGCUACGGCCGCGAAGUGGGUGAUGUCAAGCUUCCAAGAAAAGCCCUAUACCCGUUAAGGCAUGAUGGCCUGUACCCGAAACCGACACAGGUGGGGUGGUAGAGAAUACCGAGGGGCGCGAGGUAACUCUCUCUAAGGAACUCGGCAAAAUGGCCCCGUAACUUCGGGAGAAGGGGUGCCACCGCAAGGUGGUCGCAGUGAAGAGGCCCAGGCGACUGUUUACCAAAAACACAGGUCUCCGCUAAGUCGCAAGACGAUGUAUGGGGGCUGACGCCUGCCCAGUGCCGGAAGGUUAAGGAAGCUGGUCAGCGCAAGCGAAGCUAGCGACUGAAGCCCCGGUGAACGGCGGCCGUAACAAUAACGGUCCUAAGGUAGCGAAAUUCCUUGUCGGGUAAGUUCCGACCCGCACGAAAGGCGUAACGAUCUGGGCGCUGUCUCGGAGAGAGGCUCGGCGAAAUAGAAUUGUCUGUGAAGAUGCGGACUACGUGCACCCGGACAGAAAGACCCUAUGAAGCUUUACUGUAGCUUGGUAUUGUGCCCGGGCUCUGAAUGCGCAGGAUAGGUGGGAGGCUUUGAUCCAUGGCUUGCGGGUCAUGGUGAGCCAACGGUGAGAUACCACUCUUUCAGAGCUAGGGUUCUAACGGUCACCCGUCAUCCGGGGACCGGACAGUAUCAGGUGGGCAGUUUGACUGGGGCGGUCGCCUCCUAAAAGGUAACGGAGGCGCGCAAAGGUUUGCUCAGGCUGGUUGGAAAUCAGCCGACGAGUGCAAAAGCAGAAGCAAGCUUGACUGUGAGACCUACAAGUCGAACAGGGACGAAAGUCGGCUUUAGUGAUCCGACGGUUCUGAGUGGAAGGGCCGUCGCUCAACGGAUAAAAGUUACUCUAAGGAUAACAGGCUGAUCUCCCCCAAGAGUUCACAUCGACGGGGAGGUUUGGCACCUCGAUGUCGGCUCAUCGCAACCUGGGGCUGAAGUCGGUCCCAAGGGUUGGGCUGUUCGCCCAUUAAAGCGGUACGCGAGCUGGGUUCAGAACGUCGUGAGACAGUUCGGUCCAUAUCCGGUGCACGCGCAGGAACAUUGAGAGGAUUUCUCCCUAGUACGAGAGGACCGGGAGGAACGCACCUCUGGUGUGCCAGUUAUCGUGCCAACGGUAAACGCUGGGUAGCCAUGUGCGGAGUGGAUAACCGCUGAAAGCAUCUAAGUGGGAAGCCCACCUCAAGAUGAGUGUUCCCAUGGCAUAAGCCAGUAAGGUCACGGGAAGAACACCCGUUGAUAGGCUCUACGUGGAAGCCGGGUAACCGGUGAAGCGGAGGAGUACUAAUAGACCGAGGGCUUGAU
rnacentral:rRNA from 1 species